GAUGAACGCUGGCGGCGUGCCUAAUACAUGCAAGUCGAGCGAACAGACGAGGAGCUUGCUCCUUCGACGUUAGCGGCGGACGGGUGAGUAACACGUAGGUAACCUACCUAUAAGACUGGGAUAACUUCGGGAAACCGGAGCUAAUACCGGAUAAUAUUUCGAACCGCAUGGUUCGAUAGUGAAAGAUGGCUUUGCUAUCACUUAUAGAUGGACCUGCGCCGUAUUAGCUAGUUGGUAAGGUAACGGCUUACCAAGGCAACGAUACGUAGCCGACCUGAGAGGGGGGUGGGGAAAGGCGGAAAGGGAAAAGGGGCGAGGAACGCACGGGGGGGAGAAGUGGGGAAUUUGCCGAAGGGGGGGAAAGCCUAAAGGGGAAAUGCGGGGUGAGAAAUGAAGGUGUUGGAAUCGUAAAACUCUGUUAGGGGGGAAAAAAAAACGUGAAAGACAACGUCGAGGCGUUGGCGGUAAUUAAUAAGAAAGCCACGGCUAACUACGG
rnacentral:rRNA from 1 species